GUGUUCACUUCAGCAGCACAUAUACUAAGAUCGGAACGAUACAGAGAAGAUUAGCAUGGCCCUGCACAAGGAUGACACGCAAAUUUGUGAAAUGUUUCAUAUUUAA
ensembl:snRNA U6 U6 spliceosomal RNA